rnacentral:rRNA from 1 species
AGCGUAGGUGGCCUAACAUGUCAACUGUGAAAACCCGGAGCUCAACUCCGGACUUGCAGUCGAAACUGGUAGGCUUGAGGACGGUAGAGGAAGACGGAACUGCCAGUGUAGGGGUAAAAUCCUUAGAUAUUGGCAGGAACGCCGGUGACGAAGGUGGUUUUCUGGGCCGGUUCUGACACUGAUGCUCGAAAGCCAGGGGAGCGAACGG